CAUGGAGAGUUUGAUCCUGGCUCAGGAUGAACGCUGGCGGUAUGCUUAACACAUGCAAGUCGAACGAAGUCUUCGGACUUAGUGGCGGACGGGUGAGUAACGCGUAAGAAUCUACCUAUAGGUUCGGGACAACAGUUAGAAAUGACUGCUAAUACCGGAUAUGCCUUCGGGUGAAAGUUUUAAUGCCUGUAGAUGAGCUUGCGUUCGAUUAGCUAGAUGGUGGGGUAAUGGCCUACCAUGGCGACGAUCGAUAACUGGUCUGAGAGGAUGACCAGUCACACUGGGACUGAGACACGGCCCAGACUCCUACGGGAGGCAGCAGUGGGGAAUUUUCCGCAAUGGGCGAAAGCCUGACGGA
rnacentral:rRNA from 1 species